GCAAACUACACUCUUCAGUACUACUUCAGUUAUUCAGUUCAGCUGCAUGAAGACCUGAAGCUGCUCGACAACAACGCUUAUCAGCAGAGACACCGCUAACAGUGCAAGGUGGCCCAUAGUAACAGAGAAUCCAAUGGACAGAGCAGCAGAACCCAGACGUCCAUUUCUUCUUUCAUCAGUGACAGCGAAAACGCAGACCACCAACUGCAUAGUGAGGAACACCUCCACUGUGGUGGCCAUUCCCAGACUCAUGCCAGGCUGAAGCUGGAGAGAAACAUCAACAGAAAACACAGUGAAACCCAGAAGAAACGUAGCAAGCAUCUCCAUUCCAAGAGCUUGACCUGCGUUCAUCUCCACUGGGACCUUCAGUGAGGAAAAUAAGAGGAUAAAAUGUGUA
rnacentral:lncRNA from 1 species